rnacentral:rRNA from 1 species
AGCAGCCGCGGUAAUUCCAGCUCCAAUAGCGUAUAUUAAAGUUGUUGCAGUUAAAAAGCUCGUAGUUGAAUUUCGGGAUCAAAUUGUCGGUCGUGCCUCGGUACGUACUGGCGUUAUUGGUUCCUCCCUUCUGAAGAACCGCGAUGUCAUUAAUUUGGUGUCGCGGGGAAUCAGGACUGUUACUUUGAAAAAAUUAGAGUGUUUAAAGCAGGCUCGCGCUUGAAUACAUUAGCAUGGAAUAAUGAAAUAGGACGUUUGAUUCUAUUUUGUUGGUUUCUAGGAUCGACGUAAUGAUUAAUAGGGAUAGUUGGGGGCAUUAGUAUUCAAUUGUCAGAGGUGAAAUUCUUGGAUUUAUUGAAGACUUAACUACUGACGAAAGCAUUUGCCAAGGAUGUUUACAUUAAUCAAGAACGAAAGUUAGGGAUACGAAGACGAGUCAGAUACCGUCGUAGUCUUAACCAUAAACUAUGCCGACGUAGGGAUCGGAUGUAUGUUUAAUUUUUAAUGUACUCAUUCGGCGUCCGUACGGGAAACCAAGGUUGUUU